CCUACGGGAGGCAGCAGUGGGGAAUAUUGGACAAUGGGCGAAAGCCUGAUCCAGCAAUGCCGCGUGAGUGAUGAAGGCCUUAGGGUUGUAAAGCUCUUUUACCCGAGAUGAUAAUGACAGUAUCGGGAGAAUAAGCUCCGGCUAACUCCGUGCCAGCAGCCGCGGUAAU
rnacentral:rRNA from 3 species